UACUUACCUGUGGAACUCAUGCAAGCCUUAAAACCUAGGAAUGAUGGUUGUGUGACUUGCUUGUGCUUGUUGUUUACUUAACAUCAUAACAUCAUAACAUCAUGGCAUUGUACUAACCAUUUCGAGGACUUAGGGAUUUAACUUUGCUCUGUUUUGUAAAAAAAAAAAAAAAAAGUUUCCUUUUUUUGUUGGUUUACGUAAAGUUAAAUUCCAAAAGUCCUUGAAAACAUUUCAUACAUUGCAUAGCAUAACAUAACAUUGCAUAACAGGUACUCUAAAGGGAUCAGUGUUCUCACGGUUUUCCUCCAAACAGAAAAAUGGACCUCGAACAAACUGUCAAAGAUCUCCAUGCUCAGAAUGCUC
rnacentral:lncRNA from 1 species